rnacentral:tRNA from 1 species
AUUGCAGUUAUGUCGGGCUCUGGCCUCCAAUAAGCUAAACUACGAAUCUGGGGGGGCGGGAGUUCGAAUCUCCCCCGGCGCGCCA